GCGCCCGUAGCCCAGUUGGCAGAGGCACCGCCUUAUAAGCGGAUCAAGCGCGGGUUCGACUCCCGUCGGGCGUU
rnacentral:tRNA from 2 species